rnacentral:rRNA from 1 species
GGAUGAACGCUAGCUACAGGCUUAACACAUGCAAGUCGAGGGGCAGCAUGGUCUUAGCUUGCUAAGGCUGAUGGCGACCGGCGCACGGGUGAGUAACACGUAUCCAACCUGCCGUCUACUCUUGGCCAGCCUUCUGAAAGGAAGAUUAAUCCAGGAUGGGAUCAUGAGUUCACAUGUCCGCAUGAUUAAAGGUAUUUUCCGGUAGACGAUGGGGAUGCGUUCCAUUAGAUAGUAGGCGGGGUAACGGCCCACCUAGUCAACGAUGGAUAGGGGUUCUGAGAGGAAGGUCCCCCACAUUGGAACUGAGACACGGUCCAAACUCCUACGGGAGGCAGCAGUGAGGAAUAUUGGUCAAUGGGCGAUGGCCUGAACCAGCCAAGUAGCGUGAAGGAUGACUGCCCUAUGGGUUGUAAACUUCUUUUAUAAAGGAAUAAAGUCGGGUAUGCAUACCCGUUUGCAUGUACUUUAUGAAUAAGGAUCGGCUAACUCCGUGCCAGCAGCCGCGGUAAU